rnacentral:lncRNA from 1 species
GAGAAACACAAGCCAAAGUGAAGUACAGCUUAUUCUUAAUCCUGACUCUUUUGGGGCACUUCUUUGUGAGAAUCCUGAAGUAGCUGAAGAUCCCUUCAAAGAAAAGCUAGUUAUAGAAAACUUAUCCCCGGCGCUCAUGUGAUCAGGCAACCUUCUGUUUCACCUCAACGUGCAACGAAAUCCAGAUGAUCUGUCGCAUACUACCUUCACUGGUUUGGUUCAGACUUGAAAAGCCUCUGCUUCCACAUCGGGAGCCAUGUCCCGACACUGGCAUACUGAAAGAA